UCUAGUGGCGGACGGGUGAGUAACGCGUGGGUAACCUGCCUUAUACAGGGGGAUAACAGUCAGAAAUGACUGCUAAUACCGCAUAAGCGCACAGAGCUGCAUGGCUCGGUGUGAAAAACUCCGGUGGUAUAAGAUGGACCCGCGUUGGAUUAGCUAGUUGGUGAGGUAACGGCCCACCAAGGCGACGAUCCAUAGCCGGCCUGAGAGGGUGAACGGCCACAUUGGGACUGAGACACGGCCCAGACUCCUACGGGAGGCAGCAGUAGGGAAUUUUCGUCAAUGGGGGGAACCCUGAACGAGCAAUGCCGCGUGAGUGAGGAAGGUCUUCGGAUCGUAAAGCUCUGUUGUAAGAGAAAAACGACAUUCAUAGGGAAUGAUGAGUGAGUGAUGGUAUCUUACCAGAAAGUCACGGCUAACUACGUGCCAGCAGCCGCGGUAAUACGUAGGUGGCGAGCGUUAUCCGGAAUGAUUGGGCGUAAAGGGUGCGUAGGUGGCAGAACAAGUCUGGAGUAAAAGGUAUGGGCUCAACCCGUACUGGCUCUGGAAACUGUUCAGCUAGAGAACAGAAGAGGACGGCGGAACUCCAUGUGUAGCGGUAAAAUGCGUAGAUAUAUGGAAGAACACCGGUGGCGAAGGCGGCCGUCUGGUCUGUUGCUGACACUGAAGCACGAAAGCGUGGGGAGCAAAUAGGAUUAGAUACCCUAGUAGUCCACGCCGUAAACGAUGAGAACUAGGUGUUGGGGGAAUAACUCAGUGCCGCAGUUAACGCAAUAAGUUUCUCCGCCUGGGGAGUAUGCACGCAAGUGUGAAACUCAAAGGAAUUGACGGGGGCCCGCACAAGCGGUGGAGUAUGUGGUUUAAUUCGAAGCAACGCGAAGAACCUUACCAGGCCUUGACAUCCCUUGCAGAGGUAUAGAGAUAUAUCCGAGGUUAUCAAGGAGACAGGUGGUGCAUGGUUGUCGUCAGCUCGUGUCGUGAGAUGUUGGGUUAAGUCCCGCAACGAGCGCAACCCUUGUGAUAUGUUACUAACAUUGAGUUGAGGACUCAUAUCAGACUGCCGGUGAUAAACCGGAGGAAGGUGGGGAUGACGUCAAAUCAUCAUGCCCCUUAUGGCCUGGGCUACACACGUACUACAAUGGCGUCUACAAAGAGCGGCAAGCCUGUGAAGGCAAGCGAAUCUCAUAAAGGACGUCUCAGUUCGGAUUGAAGUCUGCAACCCGACUUCAUGAAGCUGGAAUCGCUAGUAAUCGCGAAUCAGCAUGUCGCGGUGAAUACGUUCUCGGGCCUUGCACACAAAGCCCGUCAA
rnacentral:rRNA from 1 species